CGGACAUGGUCCGAAACACGGCCCAGGCCCAGGUGCAGACGGUAGCUGGUGGGGAAGGGGACUGGACGGCAUAACCCUCGUUCCACCGGGAACUCGCUGCGUGGGUGCCGCCGCCGAUCCACAACUCCGGCGACACCGCCGCCUCGCAUCCUACCACCGGCGUGUAAGCCGAGAUCUCCUCCUACAUCCCCUCCACCAACUAUUCCGAACAACAUCCUGUCAUGGCCGCGGUGCGCCCUUGGUCUCACGCCGUCCUCUUUGAUCGCCAAGACGGCUGAUGUCUUCUCGGUGGUCCGGGAGAGGUGCCUGGCUUUCAUCGCGUCGCAGGCUCGCAGCGCCCGUGGCGGCUCGGCGGUGGCGCAGGAAAUUGGAAGAUGCCGACAAAGUGGUGCUGGUAGGCGAAAUGGCCGGCGCGUGAUUCGGUGGUAGGUUCAUCUUUAGGCUUCAGCGACGACAAGCACGGCCGAGACACCAAUGCGUUAUCUCCGCAAGGGAAGGGUGGAGGAGCGAAUAUGUGAAGUGGUAAGCUCUCCCUUCCUGGGUGGAACUGAAGCAAGGUUUAAGAGUUCUCCAGAAUUCAUUGUUCCAGUGGGUCUUUGGAGCAGCAAUGCGACCUUCGGCGUAGGCCGGCGACGGCGGAAGUGACAAGCCUACCAUACCACUUCUUCGUCCGAUUAGACUCAGACGAAACCUGCACGCGUGUGGUGAACUUCUACCCGGCAGUGCGCCGUUGCCUCGCUGGCUCCAAGCUCCCCUACGCACAAGCGCACACAGGAGUACAAUCUCAUUCUGCAUGUGAAGGAGGCCAUCGACCGCGGCCCUUUGGUGAUGGAGGGCACUGAUUUCUACCCUGAUGAUGACGAAGACCUAAGCCGCAAGCACAAAGUUUAAGACCUAGCGUGGCAAGAUCGACGGCAGAGGUCUUGGUCAUCAUGACGAGGCAUGAUCGGAAUUUGCUAUGAUCCUUCUCCCCGGCGUUUACUUCAGUUUAUAAUGUUUCGCCUAGCUAUUUUUUUAUUGAGUCGUACUACCCAUGUUUAAGUCAGAUUAUAAUGUUUCGGACUACCUGUGUUUAAUCGAGUUUGGUACAUCCAUUGUUUACUUCA